UGUUGCAAGCCCUACAUUAAAACGGUCGGCUGCAGUUCAAAAAGUAUUUCAUUGGCUGUGAAGUCCUAAUGUUGUGUAAGGUGCUACACGAAUAAUGACAGAAAUGUGCAGAUUAUCAAAAAGUCCUUACAGUGGCAGUGACGCUCCUUUCCUGGCUGUGAAAGAUAAAGAUAGGAAGCUAUCCCAAAGUCCACAGUCCAUUCAACAAGGUUCAGAAAUCAAAUACUGGUUGGAAUCCAGCACUUUGAAACCAAACCAUUCCCAAUGCCAGUUCCCAGCAGCAGCAGCGACACGGGCUGCACAAGGCUCUCGGCAGUCUGUCUGACGCACCCAGGAUCACGUUUCACUAAAAUCCAAAUUUCAUCCUCAAACAUUCAUGUGUUCAUAUCAAACUUACUUUUCAAGUGAUUCCUGGUUAACGCACGUCACAUCUCCUCAAACACUGGGGUUGGGGGGGCGGUUAUUCUGGUGAAAUCGAGUGUUAAAGUGGACGCUGUGCUAAUAAGACACACCUAAUUCAAAGUCUGGCUUUAACCUGAAAGUCUUGUAUCAGAUUGCUGUUUGUUCAUGGGCUGUGUACUAUCUUGUCCCGGCAGUAUACGGGUGAUAUCUUGCAAGUUGACAUGAUUGAAGGGUGCCUGCAGGCAAGAAAGGAGUCACGUGCAGGUUUAGCACACAAAGUACUGAGGGGGUGCAGCUUCUGUGCAAUGUCAUUUUAAGCCUAUCCCCUUCACUAUCAGGCCAGUUUAUCUGACAGCAUUGGGAAUAUGGUUUGGAAGGGGCUGGGGCGUGCGCAAACAUUUGGGAAAAGCGUAAUGCCAAAGUGAGGCAGAAACUGGGCUUUUGAGAGCACCGUUCCGUCUCCAUUGCGGGUAUUAACCUGGUCAUCAGGUGUGAGGUACUGUCUCUGUUGUCGUAUGUGGCGCAGGUCCGGCCCAUUUCCAGAACCUGUGCAAUUGCAGACCCCUAAGCCAUUUUCCACUUCAGCUGGAGGGCGAAGCUGGACUGGAUCCAAAGGGAUACCAUCUACAAAGCUCUUGUUAAGGUUUCGGGUGAGGGCGGAGCAAACAUACCAAACGUCGCCCUCAUCCUGAUGGCCACCUUUCUGUGUUGCUGCAUCAAGCUGUGCAUAGACCCUCAGUACGCAAACACCAAGUGUCACUACGUACUGAGAUUCUUCCUGUCCCUGGUGUUGCGAAGGAUGGGCCUCGUUGCCGUGGAAUGUUCCAAGCAGUCGGACCAUUCCGUAUCACCUGUCCUUCUAGGAGAAAUUUGCAAAAGAAAAGACUUUUGACCACUAGUCCAUCAGGGAGUGGUCAGCACCAUAGCAUCCUUUAGACCCUACGGGUAAAGGAGAGGGUGGAUCCUGUUGCAUGGUUCCCUGAGCAGUUUGUCAAAGUCAUUUGACAGAAUGCCUCAUCGCCAGAACGUGCCAACAUGCAGCAAGACAUCACGUGGCUGCUGGUGAGAAGGCCAUUACCUGUGAGAUACUUAAUGAACACCCUGUUGGUCUGGGUGCU